UUCAGUCAUAAGGAAUUAUUUGAUUUCUAUAACAAGCUAGAGACCAUACAAGCACAGCUGGAUUCCCUUACAUGAUGUUCUUGAAGACUGGUUUCUCUGUCACACUCCUGCCACCUCAUUAUUUUGCAUUGAAGAUAAACUGCCAGGUUGUGUUUUCUGAAGGAUUCACUAGCUUUCUUCUUGUAAAUUAUACAGCUUACUGCUUUGUAGACAAAUAACCGCCAAGGAAGAUCACUGUUCUGAGUGCUCAGGUUCCAAUAUGCAUUCUCUUGUUCUGAGAGCCAACAGCAAGUAAUGGUUAAGAACACUUCUGCGUUAAAGAAAAUAGCUGUGAAUAUCAUGUGGUUAUUACUGUCCUGUUUUUGUUUUAUUGCCUGACCCGUUUAUUUUUUACAUACUUGAUGAUACUUGUAGGUAUCAAGGAGGGUCCAUGGAUACAAAGUAUACUGUAUAUUUUAAAACAGGGAACUUUAGUGAUUACAUUGAUAAAAAUAAGUAGCCACAUGCAAUUAAGUACAUUAUGAUUUUUUUUCUUUAAUACAGUGAGUAUAUUUUCUUGGGAAAUAAUACAGGGAGGACAUUUUAAAUAGAACUAGUACUAGCAUAUCAUUCAGUUCCAGUGUGAGCAUCUCUGUGCACUUUAGAUUUUUCUCUACAUUUAAUGAUUUAGUAACAGUUUGGGGGUUUGUGUGCUUUUCUUUGUACUGCAAAUUAAUAAUGAUUAAUUAUUAAUUUCAUAGCAUGGGAGACAGAUCCACAUAAUGAGUAAAAAAUAAUUGUAAUGAGUGCCAAACAAAUAUCCUUAAAAUUCUAAAACAUACUUUUUACAUUCUCUUUCUAUGAAUAUGUUAAUUAAUUUCACUCAAUAAGAUUUUUUGUCUCAGAAUUAUUUGAACUGAAGUGCACAGCAUUUUAUUCUGUGGAUGUAUAUAAAUAUGAGUAUGGUUGCCUACAGAAAAUAAUAUCACUUGAAUUUUUAUGAAUGAAAUGUCUGUACUACAUUUUUUUUCUAGAGAGAAAGACAGACAUGAGAGAGAAUAACAGAGAUACAAAUAUGACUUCACAUGAAAGAAUUGGAUUUCAGACAUACCCUAUAGUUAAACGGAGUCACUGAAUUUAAGUCACAUUUCUUAUAUGAGGUUUCUGAGUAAUAGGAAUGUUAAAUGACUCCCAGAUAUAUGUUCAGUAUAUGGAAUGUAUGCACUUACUUAUUUUAUAUGUGCUUAUAUAUUGUUGUUUAGAAGGCUUAGGAAUUUGGAUUAUUUCAGAAAGUAAAUAUUACAGUGGCUGUCCAUAGUUGGUAGACUUGAAAAGUUUUUAAACUCAAACUUCCACUGAUAGGAUAUCUAGAAGACAUGUUUAGAAUGGGAUUUGUUUCGAUAUGUAGCUGUGUGGUCCGUCUUAAAUUUUUAUAUUCUGUUCUGCUGGUCCCCAGAGGUAACCACAUGACCACUAUAAACGUUUUGGUAAAUACUCUUUCAGCUGAUUUCUUAUAUACAAAUAAACAUGCCUCAUUUCAAGUUGAAUUUAUUAGGCCUUCCUGACAGAGACCAUAUGGAUAGACAGAAGUUUUCAUUGGUUUAAUGGCCAACUUAACUCCCAGUAUAGAUAUCUAAAUUAAAUGUGACACUUCCAAGCAAAAUUUCUUAUUAAGUAGCUUAAAAUAGUGAUAAAUUGUUUUCUCUCCAUCAGUAUAGUUCAGGAAAGUCUGACCAAAGGCAUUGCAGAAAGGACCAGUAAGCAGUAGGUUUAAUUCCAACUAAGAACAUAAUUAUUCUUGAAAUAUAGUUUUUUUCUUUUCUUUCUUUUCUUUUUUUUUUUUUUUCUUUUUUUUCUUUUUAGGGCCGCACCUACAGCCUGUGGAGAUUCCCAGGCUAGGAGGCCAGGGAUGGAACCCACAACCUCAGAUUUGUUUCUGCUGUGCCGUAGCAGGAACUCCCAUCCUGAAAUACAUUUAUUGUCAAUAAUUUUAUUUCUUAAGGUAUCACCAUUGUUACAAUACACAAGUCAAAAAAAAGUAUCAUUCCCAAGGAUUAUUAAAUGUGUGUUACUUUUUCAGAGAAGUAAGAUGGGUGGGGCAAUAAGUGGGAACUGAAACCUAUUCUCUUAGUACAUUAACAUGUAUUGCAAGUUGCUUAUCAAAAGGAUUGAAUAAAAAUAAAUUACUUGCUAGAAAGGAGCAUUACAAAUAAUGUUUGCAAUUCUUCUGUUAGAAAAUAUGAUUGUUUUUAGUUAGGAAAUACCAAAAAAAAAAAAAAAAACCGUGAAGGAAUAACCUAAAAUUGUAGAAUCUCAUCAUCUAGAAAUGGCCAUUAAUGACAUUUUGGUAGAUUUUAUUGAAAGUUGUUUUUUGUUUUUUGUUUUUUCCAUUCAUAUGUCUUUCUCCUUUUUUUCCUUCUUACAUAACAAAUUGGAUUAAUGCAAUAAAUAUAGUUUCACACUUUGCUUUGCUUCUGUAACAUUGUAACAUAAGGAUUUUUCUUGCCCUUAUUGUAUAAAACAUAAUUUUGACAUAUAUUAAAUUGUCCUUCAUUUAAAUGAGCUACUACACUUUAUUUAGUCAACCAGUCUAUUUUGGGGCAUUUAGAUUAUUUCCAGUUUCUUAACAUGCUAAAGAAUACGCUGGGAAUAUCAUUAUAAAUAAACCUAGACCGCAUGUCUUAUUUUAUUAAUAUAGAUUGCUAGAAUUGGGAUUAUUAUGCCAAAACUAUGAAGAUUUGCUUUCUAUUUUUAUUUCUAAUGUGAUUGUAUUAUAAAAAUAAAAUUGCCUAUUUAAAAAAAAACAGUUAAGAAGUCUCUUUUGCUAUCUCACUCCCCAGAAGCACCUCCCUAACUAGUCGGAAACAUUUGUUUUGUAUCUUUUCACAUGCUUCAUGUAAAUUAAAAUACCCUUGUCUG
rnacentral:lncRNA from 1 species